AGUUAAAAUAAUUAGAUACUAUAAUUUAAUUUAUUAAAAAUUAAAACAUUAUUAAAUUUAGUAAAGGAGAUUUAAAAUUAUUUUGUAUCUUUAAUAAAAGUACUGUAAAGGAAAAUUUGAACAGAAAAAAAGAACAAAUUAAAUUUU
rnacentral:rRNA from 1 species